rnacentral:misc_RNA from 1 species
GCAACACAUACAUUAUGCAUGAAAAAAUUGAAAUACACCCAUCAGAAUUCAAAAGUUAAAGUAUCAACUAAUCAUUUCCUCUUCUUCCUGUAUCUUUGGCAGCUUGAGCUGCAAGGGCGGGACUCGAUAUAGAAAUCAAAUGGCUACUUCCACUACUACUGGCAAUUUGAAAUUGAUUUAGUUGAAAGGGAUAAAACAAGAGAACCAACAGAGUUUAUAGGAAAAAACUCCAGGUAAAAAGUUCUAAACAUAAUAAAAAUAAGAGGCAAUCUGCAGCUUUAUUCCUCCAAAAUUUGAAUUCUGAGGAAAAAACAAUCCUUACUGCUACAACUGAAAAUGCUUCUGAUGCUUGUAUUACAUGGUUAUAAACAUAACAUUCUAUGAAAGGAAAAGCAGGUUUAAAAGGAGGAAAUGUUCAGAAAACCUGCGAAGCAAUAGUCCGUGCAGUACCAGCACUAAGCUCUUAAUUCAAGCUGCAGAAAUUUCUCUUGUAAAUCAGCAGCCGAUGUUUUCUUGCCUGACCUCUGGAGUUGCUUUAAAACUCUCAUAUACACAUUAUAAUGAGGUCUAAGACCCUUUUUUAUCAUUUCGGAAAGAAUAUAUUCAGCAGCACCCACAUUUCCUCUUUUCUGAUUAAGGCCUGCAAGCAAGCUGUAAUUCACACUGCUUGAGCACUUAUCAUCUGAACUCAAAACAUAUUUGUAAGCCUCCUCAUACUGUUGUGAGUUAAAAAGCCCCUUGAUAAAGGCAGCAUGUGUUAAAAGCCGAGGUUCAAGACCACUUGCAACCUCUUCAUCUAAAAACUCAAAAGCAACAUCCAACUUGCCUCCACUACAAGAGUUACAUAUAAAUAUCUCAAAAGUUAAUGCAUCAGGUGAACAAUUGCUCUCUUUCAUUUUCUGAAAUAAUUCAUAAGCAUCAGCAUUUUUACCAUUCUUUAGCAAACUGCUAAUUAUGUAGUUGUAAGUUUGGGAACUUGGAUUACAGCCUGCCUCCCUUAUCUCAUCCAUCAUAUCUCGUGCUCCUUUAAAAUCACAUCUCCGACACAUUUCCUUAAUCAAAACAUUGUAGAAAGACAACCUCCUCUCUGUUUUCUCGAUCACAAACUUUGCCAUGUCAAAGGAUCCCAAAUCACUGAACAUCUCAAUUAACGAGUAAACUCCAGUACCAUAACACGUCCCCCCAACUUCACACAAUAUAUCAAUAACUCUCUGUGUUGAUUUCCUCAGCAAAGUCUCAGUUGUACCCGUAGAAGGUAAGAACCCGAAUGCCUUAUUGUCUAUGGACAAACUCUUCAGGCUGAAAUCAUUCAAAAGACAUUGCAUAGCAUCAUAAUCACCUAACCGCCCACAAUUAUCAAUAAUCAAACUACAGAUGUCAGAAUUACAUUCCAAUUCUGGCUGCCAAUGUCUAAUCCAUUGAAAGAAAUGCAGUGCAGACCGUUUUUUACUACUCAAAGCUCGAAGAACCCGAGCCACCGAUGUAAUAGAUAGUCUUAGAUUCAACUUACACAACUUAGAUUCCAAAUCAUCUUCGUUACUUCUUAGCAAACCAAUAAUCUUAAAAACUUGUUUUGGAGUUGCUAUCGGUCUAAGCUCAUCAGUAUGCCAUUUUUUAGAUUGAGAAGCAUCAGUAGAAGAAACUGAAUAAAAUCGAAAGCAAUAAUGAGCUCGAGACUUGAACAAAUAAAGAUUAAAAUUUUGCUUUGUAUAAUUCUUAUAUCUACAAUUACAUCCGGUGAAACCAAAACAAUUUGAAGAUUGAAGAUACGAGUAUGUCAUAGGACUAAGAGAAGGUGACCCAUAUGAGGAAAAUGGGGAUAAAUUUCUACAACCAUUAUACUUAAACAAGCAGAGAGAAUGAUGAAAUGGGUAAGUUUCAGAACAAAACAAAAAAGACCCAAUUGUGGAAAUCGAGGAAUAUGGAUGAUCCAACGUGAGGUUUCUGAAAGAUGAAUUGCAGAUUGGAUUUCCAAAGAGCCUUGGUGAAACUAGGGUUUUAGCAGGGGAAGAGAAAAGGAAAUGUGUCAGGGAGUAUUGAGAAGAAAUAGAGCAAAUAGAGAGAUGAGGAUUUGACAGGUACCUGAGAUUGCUCUUAAAAAGUUUUGAACUUUUCAUACUCACUAGAAGGAUUUCGGAGACGACAUCCACCAGAAUUUGUUUUACAGUGAGAGCAUCAAAGAGGAGAAGCUGCUCAUUAUUUUCGGUUGUG